rnacentral:rRNA from 1 species
UGAGGAGUAUUGGUCAAUGGGCGCGAGCCUGAACCAGCCAAGUAGCGUGAAGGAUGACUGCCCUACGGGUUGUAAACUUCUUUUAUAAAGGAAUAAAGUGAGGCACGUGUGCCUUUUUGUAUGUACUUUAUGAAUAAGGAUCGGCUAACUCCGUGCCAGCAGCCGCGGUAAUACGGAGGAUCCGAGCGUUAUCCGGAUUUAUUGGGUUUAAAGGGAGCGUAGAUGGGUUGUUAAGUCAGUUGUGAAAGUUUGCGGCUCAACCGUAAAAUUGCAAUUGAUACUGGCAGUCUUGAGUACAGUUGAGGUAGGCGGAAUUCGUGGUGUAGCGGUGAAAUGCUUAGAUAUCACGAAGAACUCCGAUUGCGAAGGCAGCUUACUAAACUGCCACUGACAUUGAUGCUCGAAAGUGUGGGUAUCAAACAGG